rnacentral:rRNA from 4 species
UUUCCGUAGUGAACCUGCGG